rnacentral:rRNA from 1 species
UUUGGCAGCCAUGGAGAAGAGGGUACACCCGAUCCCAUUCCGAACUCGGCAGUUAAGCUCUUCAUCGCCGAUGAUACUGCAGGUUUCCUGUGGGAAAGUAGGCCGCUGCCAAAG